UGGGGAAUAUUGCGCAAUGGGGGGAACCCUGACGCAGCCAUGCCGCGUGAAUGAAGAAGGCCUUAGGGUUGUAAAGUUCUUUCGGUAUUGAGGAAGGUUGAUGUGUUAAUAGCACAUCAAAUUGACGUUAAAUACAGAAGAAGCACCGGCUAACUCCGUGCCAGCAGCCGCGGUAAUACGGAGGGUGCGAGCGUUAAUCGGAAUAACUGGGCGUAAAGGGCACGCAGGCGGUUAUUUAAGUGAGGUGUGAAAGCCCCGGGCUUAACCUGGGAAUUGCAUUUCAGACUGGGUAACUAGAGUACUUUAGGGAGGGGUAGAAUUCCACGUGUAGCGGUGAAAUGCGUAGAGAUGUGGAGGAAUACCGAAGGCGAAGGCAGCCCCUUGGGAAUGUACUGACGCUCAUGUGCGAAAGCGUGGGGAGCAAACAGGAUUAGAUACCCUGGUAGUCCACGCUGUAAACGCUGUCGAUUUGGGGGUUGGGGUUUAACUCUGGCGCCCGUAGCUAACGUGAUAAAAUCGACCGCCUGGGGAGUACGGCCGCAAGGUUA
rnacentral:rRNA from 1 species